rnacentral:rRNA from 1 species
AGAACGAACGCUGGCGGCGGGGCUUAGGCAUGCAAGUCGAGCGAGAAAGGGGUAACCCAAGUAAAGCGGCGUAAGGGUGAGUAAUGGGUAGCUAACGUACCCUCCAGACGCGAAUAAUUUCCCGAAAGGGAUUGUAAUGCGCGAUGAGACCACGGCUUCUUUGGGAGCAGGGGUCAAAGGCCAGGGAUCCUUCGGGACCUGACGGCUGGGGGGAGCGGGCGACGUCCGAGUUAGCUAGUUGGCGAGGUAAUGGCUCACCAAGGCGAUGAUCGGUAGCCGGGCUGAGAGGCUGUCCGGCCACACUGGCACUGAGACACUGGCCAGACUCCUACGGGAGGCUGCAGUCGCGAAUUUUUUCACAAUGGACGCAAGUCUGAUGAAGCCACGCCGUGUGCGGGAUGAAGGCUCUUUGAGUUGUAAACCGCUGUCAAGUGGGGGAAACGUAUGGUGUUAACAGCGCCAUGCUUGACUGCCCGCUAAGGAAGCCCGGCAAACAUGUG